AAUCAACGCUGGCGGCGUGCCUAACACAUGCAAGUCGAACGAGAAAGUGACUUCGGUCACUGGACAGUGGCGUCCGGGUGAGUAACACGUGGGUAAUCUACCUUCGGGUGGGGAAUAACGUCUCGAAAGAGACGCUAAUACCGCAUAAUGCAGCGGCACCUUAUGGUGAAUAGUUGUUAAAGCGGGGGAGUCGCAAGACCUCGCGCCUGAAGAGGAGCCUGCGGCAGANAGUCUUGUUGGUGAGGUAAUGGCUCACCAAGGCUGCGAUCUGUAGCUGGUCUGAGAGGACGGCCAGCCACACUGGCACUGACACACGGGCCAGACUCCUACGGGAGGCAGCAGUGGGGAAUUUUGGCAAUGGGCGCAAGCCUGACCCAGCAACGCCGCGUGAGGGAGGAAAUCCUUCGGGAUGUAAACCUCAUAAGUAAGGGAAGAGCGCGGAAGAUUGAAUACAUCUUCCGC
rnacentral:rRNA from 1 species